CGGACGGGUGAGUAAUGUCUGGGAAACUGCCUGAUGGAGGGGGAUAACUACUGGAAACGGUAGCUAAUACCGCAUAACGUCGCAAGACCAAAGAGGGGGACCUUUGGGCCUCUUGCCAUCGGAUGUGCCCAGAUGGGAUUAGCUAGUAGGUGGGGUAAAGGCUCACCUAGGCGACGAUCCCUAGCUGGUCUGAGAGGAUGACCAGCCACACUGGAACUGAGACACGGUCCAG
rnacentral:rRNA from 1 species